UACGUAGGGUGCGAGCGUUGCCCGGAUUUAUUGGGCGUAAAGGGCGCGCAGGCGGCUACGCACGUCCGUUGUGAAAUCGCUCGGCUCAACUGGGCGGGGUCAGCGGAUACGGCGUAGCUGGAGCAAGCUAGGGGGGCAAUGGAAUUCCUGGUGUAGCGGUGGAAUGCGCAGAUAUCAGGAGGAACACCGAUGGCGAAGGCAGAUCUCUGGGCCGUAACUGACGCUGAGGAGCGAAAGCGUGGGGAGCGAACAGG
rnacentral:rRNA from 1 species